rnacentral:misc_RNA from 1 species
CGCUCGCUCGGGCCUGAACCGCCAUGGGGAGGGGCUACAGGUGCUGGGAAAACGAGGCCAGGGGCGGCACCAGGACACGGGCAGGGGUUUCGCCGGCUGCCAGGCUGCAACGCGCGCAUGGAGAGAGAAGGGGAGAGGAGAUCCAAGGGAGAAGACGACUGCAAAACUUAAUAGUAAAUACGAAAGAAACAUACCAGAGAGAAUCACCGGAGAAGAAAAGGGAUGCCAGAGACUCGUCGGCGACCUAGGAGGUUCCGGUGCAGUGCAGUCGUCGACACGAGCGGGACGGCGAAGGCAAUGUGCUGCGUGGGCUUUUCUGGUUCUAGAGCAUCGUGGGCACGCUCGAUCUGGAGGAAGCAGUUUUCAAGAAGAUGAAUAGGAGGCAACUGCGUCAGGCUAGCAUGGGGACCAAGGUAGCAGGUGGAGGCGGCGACUGGCUGCGCGAGAGAGAAGCGCGCACGCGCGGGCGGGGCCUGCUGGCUGGGCGAGCACGCGCUUACGCGAUGGGCUAGGGAAGCGAAGCUGGGUCAUGCUGGGCCGGCUAGGGGUAGUGGGGUUUAUUUUCUCCUUUUUCUAUUUCUUUCUCUUUUCUCUAUUUUCUACUAUGAGAUGCAUUUACCAUAAUGAACCACAUAUUAAAUGGACACACCAAACAAAAACAAAUAUAUUUCAGUAUGAUGCAACAAUCAUUACUCCCUUAUGGUUUUAUUUUACUAGGCUCAC